CAAUCGGCCCUUUUCAGGGCCAUCAACACCAUAACGUAGAUGACAG
rfam:Nasonia vitripennis strain AsymCX Ctg5732, whole genome shotgun sequence.